AGUUUGAUCCUGGCUCAGAACGAACGCUGGCGGCAGGCUUAACACAUGCAAGUCGAACGCAUCGCAAGAUGAGUGGCAGACGGGUGAGUAACGCGUGGGAACAUACCCUUUUCUACGGAAUAGCUCUGGGAAACUGGAAUUAAUACCGCAUACGCCCUACGGGGGAAAGAUUUAUCGGGGUAUGAUGAGCCCGCGUUGGAUUAGCUAGUUGGUGGGGUAAAGGCCUACCAAGGCGACGAUCCAUAGCUGGUCUGAGAGGAUGAUCAGCCACAUUGGGACUGAGACACGGCCCAAACUCCUACGGGAGGCAGCAGUGGGGAAUAUUGGACAAUGGGCGCAAGCCUGAUCCAGCCAUGCCGCGUGAGUGAUGAAGGCCUUAGGGUUGUAAAGCUCUUUCACCGAUGAAGAUAAUGACGGUAGUCGGAGAAGAAGCCCCGGCUAACUUCGUGCCAGCAGCCGCGGUAA
rnacentral:rRNA from 1 species